GAUGAAGAACGUAGCGAAAUGCGAUACGUAAUGUGAAUUGCAGAAUUCAGUGAAUCAUCGAAUCUUUGAACGCAUAUUGCGCUCUCUGGUAUUCCGGAGAGCAUGCUUGUUUGAGUAUCAGUAAACACCUCAACUUCCAUAUCUUUUUUGAAAUGGGAGUUGGACUUGAGUGAUCCCAACGCUUUUCCUCACCGAAAAGUGGCGGGUUACUUGAAAUGCAGGUGCAGCUGGACUUUUCUCUGAGCUAUAAGCAUAUCUAUUUAGUCUGCCUAAAAAACAGAUUAUUACCUUUGCUGCAGCUAACAUAAGGAGAUUAGUUCUUGUGCUGACUGAUGCAGGAUUCACAAAGACAGGCUUCGGCCGACUUUGUAAACUCGAUCUCAAAUCAAGUAAGACUACCCGCUGAACUUAAGCAUAUCAAUAAGCGGAGGA
rnacentral:misc_RNA from 1 species